rnacentral:lncRNA from 12 species
UAGUCUCUUAAAAUGAUUUUUGAAUAGUUUAGGUAAUAAUUAUUGACCUAAUAAUGACCUCAGAAGCUGACUGAUUACUUUGGAUAUCUUAGGUAUCAACAACAUUAACAUGAAACAGGUUACCAUUAAAGUCGAACAAAUUAAUUGUGUCAGAGUGCUGGAUCAGGAUUGAAUAAACUACAUUCCACAGGAAGCGUAUCUUCAGCUGUGAGCCUUUGCUCUAGCUUCUUGACUUCCACAUCACCUCCAGUUUUCUCUUAAUUGAUGGGGAUGUUAAAAGAAGCUGAAGACUAAAGCCAGCUACUGCCUCCAGGGCGAACAAGACCUGAGACUCCCUAAGGGUAAGCACUGGAACUUUCACCUUUUAACUGUUUAUGGAUUCUGUUAUAAUAUUUUGGGUAUAAUGGGUUAUCCAUUGACUCUGAGUAAAAGAACAACUAUACACGAGUGAAUAAAUUGAUGAAACUAAGAUAUCUAAUGUGUCAAUGGAUAUGUCAGAAUCAGGUUUAAAAUUGCAGAGUUUCAGAUUUUGAGUCAAGAGUGCCAGAAUUUGUUGCCAGGAAGAAGGUCCCAGAGCAGAUCAGAUUUACCAUCUCAAAACUCUAGCACAAGCAGCUAUUUCAAUCUCUUUUAGAUUUAUUAUUUUUCUUAUUUCAAAUAAU